rnacentral:rRNA from 1 species
UACGGGGGAUGCAAGCGUUAUCCGGAUUUAUCGGGUUUAAAGGGUGCGUAGGCUGUGAGGUAAGUCAGCGGUGAAAUGCCCCCGCUCAACGGGGUGAAGUGCCAUUGAUACUGCCUUGCUGGAAUUCGGAUGCCGUGGGAGGAAUGUGUGGUGUAGCGGUGAAAUGCAUAGAUAUCACACAGAACACCGAUUGCGAAGGCAUCUCACGAAUCCGCUAUUGACGCUGAUGCACGAAAGCGUGGGUAUCAAACAGG